GUUAAAAAGCUCGUAGUUGGAUUUCGGGUGGGAACGAGCGGUCCGCCGUUCCGGUGUGUACUGUUCGCGCCCAUCUUGCUGUCGGGGACGCGCUCGUGGCCUUAACUGGUUGUGACGUGGAAUCGGCGAUGUUACUUUGAAAAAAUUAGAGUGUUCAAAGCAGGCUUACGCAUUGAAUACAUUAGCAUGGAAUAACGCGAUAGGACUCCGAUCCUAUUGUGUUGGUCUUCGGGACCGGAGUAAUGAUUAAGAGGGACAGUUGGGGGCAUUCGUAUUUCAUUGUCAGAGGUGAAAUUCUUGGAUUUAUGAAAGACGAACUUCUGCGAAAGCAUUUGCCAAGGAUGUUUUCAUUAAUCAAGAACGAAAGUUGGGGGCUC
rnacentral:rRNA from 1 species